rnacentral:rRNA from 1 species
UAAGUAAUGUGAAUUGCAGAAUUCAGUGAAUCAUCGAAUCUUUGAACGCACCUUGCACUCUCUGGUAUUCCGGAGAGUACGCCUGUUUGAGUGUCAUG